UCUCAUCAAAUUACCACCCUACUCGCUCUGCUGAAUCUCUAUAUAUUCAUGCCCUUUGACUCUCAUCACUCCAUCAGUCUUGUUCUACAUCUACUUCCCUUUGAGCCUUCAAAUGAUUUCUUUUAUAUUUUCACUUUUUCAUAGCCUGUUUAAGCACAGAGAAGAACUAUAUAAGGCUUUACCCUUUCUUUUUUUCUCUUUUCACCGUGUGGUCAAUGGGUCUGUAUAUAUAAUUAUUCACAUUAAUACCUUUACUUUCAGUAUAUAAAGUCCUUCUCAGUCAUCCCUCCUCCCCCUCCCUUAAUUUCUCUCUCGAUGAGAUUUAGGGUUAGAUCGAUAUCUAGGGUUUCCUCUACCUUCUGUCGAUUCGAUCGAUUUUUUUUUUCAAACCUCUUUAGCAUGGGAGUGAUGAUGGAUGCCGUUAGAAAAAUACCAUCUAAAUACAAGAAAGAAAACCCAGUCACUUUUUGCGGGUGGAGCAUCAUCAAGAUUCACAAUCUUACUUGGGUUCUAAUUUUAACCCCAUUUGAUGAUAUGAGAAUCUUGAUGAUGCUGCAGCAGCAAUAAAUGACUAAUAUCAUCAUAUGUUUUAGGGUUAUGGUGGAUCAUCAGCAUCAUGGGGUGCAGACUGGAUACUUACUACUAGAGGUAUUUCAUUAAUAUGAUGCAUAAGCUGGUGGGCAAAAAUUAUUAGGGAGGUGAAUUUCGCUCACACGUUUUGGCUUCUCACAGACCCUCUUAGUUUAUGGGCAUCAUAUUGGAUAAAUCAAACGAAAUCAACGAACAUAUGAUGUAUCAGGAGUGUGUAAGUAGCUAAUAUAAAAAGAGUGUUUAUCAUUUUCCUAAUUAUUACACACUUUUUAGGUCUCUUGAUGUUGCAGGAGUUUUCAUUUCUGAAGGUGAGUUGUUCUUAUUUGAUGGUACACAAAUAGUACGUAGCAUAUAUUAACAUGUCAGAAAUUGUUAUAAACGUACUGAAGUAAUUUUUUAGCAUUACUUGUUUGCAUAUUGUUUUGA